rnacentral:lncRNA from 1 species
UAAAACUACUUACUAUAAGAAAAGUGAGUCUCCCGUAUCUCAACCCUCUGGCCAUUGGCGUUGAUUUUUUUGGUAAGAUUGACACCCCGUGAUCAAUGGUUAAAUUUAAGGAGUUUGUUGUUUUUGAUUAUAUUUUUGCAUUUUGUAUAUACUUAUGGUUUUAAUGGGUAUAUGAAUGUUUGGAUAUUAUUAAACAAGAACAAUGGGUAGUAAGGAUUUAUGAGACUGGUGCUUGAAUUGGGUAUCCAUUCAUUUCUGUGGGUUCUUCCCCUUUCUUUUUAUAUUUUUCCUCAUUCAAUUAUUUUUGCAUAAGGGAGUAAUUAUUUAUCGAAAAAUAAGCUUUUUGGAUUUUCUUGAAGUUGAUUGAUAUGCCCGUUGAAGAAGAUUGAACGCCUUUCCACUCUCUUAUUCUUCACAUCUUAGCUGGUAUUGCUUCAGAAUUGCAGAAGACAUGCUUGAUCGAAUAUUAUAUUUAUGGCAGAAUUUAUAAGACUUGUGGAUUUUGGAUAGUGAUUUCUUUCUUGCUAUUUUCAUUAUGGACGAAUCAUCUUGUGCAUUGUUGUCUAUUAGUUUCUCUCAUCAUACCUCAUUCUGCAUUUGAACUAGACAUAAUUAAAUUAGGUCAACUUUCUUGAAAACAUAUUUAUAAUUGCAUAUUAAUUCUGUGACAGGAUUAAGUUGCUGGCAAUGUUGAUAACAUUUCUGUUUGACUGCAGUUGAAUAUUAGUUAUGUCUGACAAUAAGAAAGUGAAGAGAGAGAUUACUUCAUUAUGACCUGUUUAAGCUGCUCCUUAUGGCAUUUACAUUUAUGUUUGGCUGUUGAACUUUAGUGCUAAAAUAUCAAGGAAACGAAAAGAUGGGAAAAAUGGGCUUUCAAUUUUCAGCAGUAGAGACAUGAGAAUACCUUGAAUAAUGAAUAGAACUUAUAAAUUCUUUCACCCCUGCUUCAAUGAUCUUGAAUCCUCAAACCUUAUUUUACUGUAAAUUAACAUUAGGAAGCCCGAAGCUCCAAUGAUGAUUUAUUAAGAUCCCUUUCAUGAUAAACGUCUGCUUCUGGUUCCUAAAAAUUUUAUUUUAUUCCAUUCUACAAUGCUAUACACUCUAUAAUCAGGGUUAAAGUAUAAUGAACAAAUAUACAUAGUCCUACCAUUUGUGCCACAUAUGGUUCCAGAGGGGAUCAAGCUUGAUCCCAAAUUUGGGGUACAGUAUCCUAGUAAAUUUUUUUAGAAUGUCCUUCCUACUCUAAGACGCUCUUCUUUCUUCCUAGAAGACAAUGUUUGUUCAGUUACAGUUGUGGGAUCUGUCUAGUCCACUCUAUCCACACCAUUGUGAGAUUCUUUAUAUCCUUUACAUCAUUUCAGUGCUGGCUUUACUUAUAGAAUGCUAGAUCACUACUUUUUGACCUGGUUGAAGUAAUGACAUAUAAUUGCCAUUACAGUCCAAUUUGGUUUCAGUAUUAAAUUGUUGGAUACAAGCAAAUCUGUCUAAGAGGACCGAAUUUAAAUUGAGACCAUUGUGACUCUUCUAGUCUUUUCUGGGAACUUGCCUAGUGGACUCUAUUCACAUAUAUAUUCAUCAAGGUAGGAGUGCAAAGCAAAACUAUCAGUGUUAAAUUUGAUGUGAAGAAUUUUGAUUGGAAAGAAUUUUGUGCUGUGGCAAGUGCAAGUCGAGAAUCUGUUGAUACAACACUAAUCGAAGUGUUGCCUCGAAAAAUAUCUAUUUGUAGUACAUACACCCUUGCUCUGGAAUUAGUCAAGUGAUGUACAAUUAGUAAAAAAAUUUACGCGUGUUUGUGGUUUUGGUUUUGUUAAGCCACAAUCAUUAUGGAAGGCUUGUGUUUUUUUCAUUAUUUUUUGAUAUUGAUCUCUGGUUUAUGCAUUACUAACGUUAAAUCUUUUAUUAUCUUGGAGGCAUCUUGUUUCAGCGUUCUAUGCUGUAGAUCCUAAUGGGGGUCAGAAAAUUGUUGCAGAACCAUAGUGAUGUCCUGCCAGCCAUAUCUGCUGGAGAUCAGCUCAGAUACAUAUGGAGGAUCUCCAUAUAGUAUCUAUUUCCCCUGUUAGUCCACUCAAGAUUGAUGAACAGAAGGCACAUGGAGGGCCUAUUGUGGGUAGCAAUUGUUUGUUUAAAUCAGUUAACACUAGUAGCUUUCCAAGAUCUCAUUUUCUACGGCAAUCUUGCAAAAGUGGCUUUACAAACAAAACAAACAAGUGGAGAUUGCGUUCUAAUUCUUCAUCUCAAAAUCCAUUCAACAGUGGUGCAUCAGAUGGGUCUGCUGAGGUAUGCAAGGGAGAUAAAGCUGCUGAAAGAAAUUCAAAUAAGAAAACUAGAAAGAGGGGAAAGAGGGGAAAGCGGAAUAAAAAUCUCCUGGGCAGUAAAGGCUUAACUGAGUAUGGAUAUGUAUGUGGAAAAUUGACGUCAGUCAGUGAAAAUACGCAUAGUUUUGGUCCGCCUGUAUAUAAAACUGAAUUGGCAGUUUCUCCACCAGAACCUUGUUGUAAUAGUAACAGUCAUCAGCCCAAAAAUAUUGAAAUAAUAAAUGGUCCAGCAAAAACAAAGGCAUUGACAUCCUAUGAAAAUCUGGUGGAGACAUCAAAAGCUUCAAACCUGUCUUCAUCUCAAAAUUUUAGUCAUGAAUCUCAUGCCUCUCAUUGCAAUGGACUCAAAAUUUUCAGUGGAGGGAGACAAUGUAUGCAUAAUAAAUCAAUCAGCUCCUUAGAUCAUCCUUGUUAUGCCAAGAUGAAUGACUCCCUUGUUUUGGAUUUCUUGUCACUUGGUUUAGAGAGUGAAGAAAGUUGUCCUGAAAAUUAUUUCAGGCUCUGCGAUGAAAAGAAUGAUGAUGCUGACAUUACAGAAUUGCCUCAUUACAUUAUCAGGAAACAGAUUUCUCCUGAAGAUAUGCUAAUUGGUAAUACUGAACAUUGUGAUGAUGCAGAGAACAUAGACAUAAUUAGGAAGGACUCUAAUUGUGAAAGAAAUUUGCAUAAUCCAGGAAUGAGAGAGAAGCAUUUAAGAAAAGUUCCAAAGAACUUUAAUAUCUUCAGAAGAUGCAGUUUCAGAAAUUUAAAACAGCAUUCUGGGAAAGAAAGCAGUAAUUCUGUAUGGCAGAAGGUUCAGAGAAAUGAAGGUGAAUGCAGACCUAAGUUUGAAAAGGUAGACUCAGUGUGUUCAGAAUUUUUUGAUGAGACAGAAGAGGGUCCUGUAUAUAAAAAGGAUAGUAAUGUUGCUGAAUGUUACAUGCUCUUGAAACCUGAAAAUAAAAAUCAGACACAGCUCAAGACUUCUGGAAAGCUGAAAAGAAAAAUGAGCCCAGGUUCAAAGAAAGAGUACAUCUCUCACUGUUGGAAAUCAUCCCAUGCUGUAAAGAUUUCUUCAAAUUUUUAUUCAAAGACUAAUAUGCGACAGAAUGAAUUCUUGGAAUCUGCUCAAAUAAGCCAGAGAAAAGGUAAUGGUGUUUCCAAUGCACAUUCGAGUAACUGGUGUCCUAGGAUUGGACAUCGUCCUGCGAAAGUUGAUAUCGGUACAUUUAAACAUAUUCACCAUACUGAAAUGUCGUCAACUAAUUUGGAGGCAUGUGACCGAGUCUAUAUUGCUGUUUCUGAUUUGACAGAUCAACCUGCAGAAAAUCAAGUGAACUUGCUAUUCAAUUCAUGUGUCCCCCUUGGCCCGUCAGAGUUGCACAAGCAACUUUCUGGACUAAGCCUUCAUAUUCAUGUGGAUGAUGAAAAUGACAAGAGAGAGAAAGAAGUCCCUCUUGCAGUUGGUGGCAGCCAGGAUGACGACUCUGCAGCUGUUUUAGAGGAAAGGAAAUCUAUUGGGGUUGGAGAUGCUGACGUUCAAGGUGUAAGUUGCAAUAGUUUGUCUAUUGGAGAGCUUCGUGAGUUAGCUGAUAAAAGCUUGAGUCCUGAAGUCAUUGCAGAAGAGAGAUUGGCUUCUAAUCCUUACCCUCUGGUUUUUUCAGAAAAUAUUGGAGUAACAUACAAUGAUCAGAGUUCUAACAACAUUAAUGAUUUACCUUUUGGAGAUGAACAUCAGGUUCAGAAGUCAAUGUAUAAAAGCACAUGCUUGCCUGCAGAGCGCAGUGGCAAUCAUGCUGGUGCAACAUGCUGGAUUCCUGAAAUCAGAAGCCAAAUUGUUUUUGAUUCUGAAAAUCAAUCAAACGACAUUGUUUCGUUAGUGAAUGGUGUCAUUGGUCACAACUAGCCUCUGAGGCUAUUGAGAUGGCUGCUGGUUGUCCGAUUCUGAAUUUGAAAGAUUUCUUCACUCGGCCUCUCCUAUUCUAUGUCCAUCUCAUGAUGUCUUCAGUGGUCAGACUUGCAAGGCCAAGCAGGUUGCUGGUAUAUCUGUGCAUAGGGAUGAGCCACUUAAUCUCUCUUUGGGGAGCUUGUGGCAGUGGUAUGAGAAGCCUGGUUGCUAUGGUCUGGAAGUAAUAGCUGAAGAUUGUGAAAAUUCAAAGAAAUUAGGAAUAGAUCAUUUUGAAUUUCAUGCCUAUUUUGUCCCAUCUUUAUCUGCUGUGCAGCUUUUCAGAAGAUGCAUGCCUUGUCCUACAGGAAAGAGCGACGUGAUGACUGAAACUGUGACAGGCAAGCCACAAGAGAUGAAUGAAACUGUAAGAUUUGCUGGUGCCACGCUUAUUCCAAUAUAUUCCAUACUUGUACCUCAACAUCACACUGAAAACAAACCCAUUUUGCCACCACAAAAUCAUGUCUCUGACUCUCAGCCACCUUCAUCGUGCAAAAAGGAAAAUGAGAUUAAUCGACCUGUCGGAUCAAAUUUUGCUGAUGAUAUAGAGCUUCUUUUUGAAUAUUUUGAAUGUGAACAACCUCAACAAAGACGUCCACUGUUCGAAAUGUAUGUAUAAUACCAUUCUUAGUAUGUAUGGUUGUGCAUAUUAUUUUUUAUGUUUGACAUGGGAGAUCCUGGCCCAUUUUUCUGAUCAUAUUUCCUUUGAUUUUGAUCAUUCUGUUCUGAAAAUUUUCAUCAUAAUUCUGUCAUAUAUGUCUAUUUUGACUUACACUUCUACUAUACACACUCAAACCUGAAUUAUAUGACCCUUCUGGAAUGGGUCGUAGCCCUCGUACCAUUGUGUGAUUCGCAUCAAACGAAUCCUCUUUUAGGUUGGGUAGAGUCCACAAGGUAGAUUUUGUUUUACAUGAUAUCGGUCUUCUUAGAAAAUUCCAUGGUGCUGCCUCUCCUUGUGAGCUCAUUUCUGCACCACAGCGACCUCCUCUAGGCCAGCUGCCACCAUGCCAUCCCCUUUUUUCACAAUGGAGAGAAGUAUCAAACUACAAAAUAUGUGAUAAUUGGCAUGGCAGAAGGCUUGGAUGCAUUUGAUGCCAGUGGCAUGAAAAAGAUCAGUGGUGGUCAAUGAAGUAGGAUUGAUGUGCCUCCUCCUUCACCUACCUCUGUCAACCUUUCUCUUUGGAGUAACUGUAUUGACAUUUAAAUCAGUAGUUGUGCUUGCUAAAGCAAUAAGUGAAAGUGGUGAUUCUUCCCCAACUUCUCAAAGUAGAUGUAAGAGGCAAGAAUAGUUGUGUGAUCCACGUGUUGCAAUGAGUUGACUUGCAGUCAGUAUAUUUUUUUAUUGAAGUGUGUAGAAAGACAAGGUUGAGAUAAACAAAUAUAGGUUUGACAGUAGGCACACAAUGGUGGGGGAAGGGUUGAAGUUUCCUUCAUGUGUUUGAAAACUUUGUGGGAUAUGGAUGGAGUUCAAGCAUAAGCCUCGGGAUUGUAAUGUAAUCUAAAAAUCAAUCCAUUAACUAAAUAUAAAUUUAUUUUUACCUUACCUCUUCUUUAUAUUUGUCAUUUAAUCUUACGGCAGACUUUAUAUUGUACUGACAUACGUUUUUUUAUUUGUAUCUAAAUGACCAAAAUCUACACAAAUACUUUGAUAUGGCUGGCAUUCACUGAUUUCACUAGUAGAGAACUGCAUAAGCACAGAGUUGCAUUUCCUUGACAGAGCUAUUUAAUU